GGUCAAGUAGAAAAGGGCGCACGGUGAAUGCCUAGGCACUAAAGCCGAUGAAGGACGUGACGAACUACGAAAAGCUUCGGGGAGCGGUAAGUACGCAGUGAUCCGGAGAUGUCCGAAUGGGGGAACCCAAUGCAGCGAUGCAUUAUUGGUUGAUGAAUAAAUAGUCAAUCAAAGGAAUACGCAGCGAACUGAAACAUCUAAGUAGCUGCAGGAAGAGAAAGAAAAAUCGAUUUCCUUAGUAGCGGCGAGCGAAGAGGAAAGAGCCCAAACCAAGUGAUUUAUCAUUUGGGGUUGUAGGACUGCAACGUGGCAGCGUGAGUGAUAGCAGAAUUAUCUGGGAAGGUAAGCCAGAGAGGGUGAGAGCCCCGUAAGCGAAAUUGCAAGCGCGCCUAGCAGAAUCCUGAGUAGGCCGGGACACGAGAAAUCCCGGUUGAAACCGCGAGGACCAUCUCGCAAGGCUAAAUACUAAUUAGUGACCGAUAGUGAACCAGUACCGUGAGGGAAAGGUGAAAAGAACCCCGGAAGGGGAGUGAAAUAGAACCUGAAACCGUGUGUCUACAAGUAGUCAAAGCACAUUAAAGUGCAAUGGCGUGCCUUUUGUAGAAUGAACCGGCGAGUUACGUUAUCUAGCGAGGUUAAGUCAGAAAAGACGGAGCCGGAGCGAAAGCGAGUCUGAAUAGGGCGAGAAGUUAGGUGACGUAGACCCGAAACCAAGUGACCUACCCAUGACCAGGCUGAAGGCGUGGUAAAACGCGCUGGAGGGCCGAACCCACGUAAGUUAAAAAUUGCGGGGAUGAGUUGUGGGUAGCGGUGAAAUUCCAAACGAACUUGGAGAUAGCUGGUUCUCUCCGAAAUAGCUUUAGGGCUAGCCUCGUGGAGAGGAUAAUGGAGGUAGAGCUCUGUUUGGACUAGGGGCCCGUCAGGGGUUACUGAAUCCAGAUAAACUGCGAAUUCCAGAUAUCCAUACACGGGAGUCAGACUGCGAGUGAUAAGAUCCGUAGUCGAAAGGGAAACAGCCCAGAUCACCAGUUAAGGUCCCCAAAUCUAUGCUAAGUGGAAAAGGAUGUGGAGUUGCGUAGACAACUAGGACGUUGGCUCAGAAGCAGCCAUCAUUCAAAGAGUGCGUAAUAGCUCACUAGUCGAGUGACGCUGCGCCGAAAAUUUACCGGGGCUAAGCAUAGUACCGAAACUGUGGAUGUACGUAAGUACGUGGUAGGAGAGCGUUCUAAGUGCGGCGAAGGUUAACCGAGAGGAUAAUUGGAGCGCUUAGAAGUGAGAAUGCCGGUAUGAGUAGCGAAAGAUAGGUGAGAAUCCUAUCCGCCGAAAGACUAAGGUUUCCUGGGGCAGGCUCGUCCGCC
rnacentral:rRNA from 1 species